rnacentral:lncRNA from 1 species
CUUACUCUAUGUGUCACAUGGUGAAAUGGCAUACCCUUGACGGAUGUCAGUGUUGGGUCUUCUUAACUACUUAUCCUCUCUGAAUUGCAUGCAAACAAUGAGUUUCAGUCUAGCUGAUUGUUAUGCCUGAAUUGAGCAGAGAAAACUCCAGGCCCAUGUCAUAGCUAAACUAUGUAAAUAUGGUCUGAACUGAAGGGAUAUGCUCACAUCCGCCAUCUCUUGGCAAAAUGGAAUAUCUGAAUUUUGAGUAUACUGAAUUCAAUUCAGCAAAUGUAUCUCCCUGCUUUGCCAUGCAGCCUGCUGUCCUAGACACUUCAAGGGCUUAGAAAAUGAGCCACAUUCUCUGUCUGUAAACAGACGUUUGUGACAUCACACAUGUUACAUGCUCACAGCAGCUUGCCCGUUUUCUGGCUUGAACUUUUAUCACAUCAAAAAGACCAAUGCCUGGCCUUUUCUAGACAGAUAAACAACUCUGUACCUGGAACAAAAAGACAAACCUACCAGCUCCAUAGUUGCCUAACACUCCUCAGAGAGGAACCAAGUGGGCCCUGCCUGGAUGCUAAUGGCAAGUUUGGCUCUUGGGAGCUGAAACUAAAAGGGACAAUGUAUUGUGCUCACAGGUACUAUACACAGGAGGAGCCUGAAGCUGACUAUGAGCCAAGUCUGUAGAGAGCACCCAAAGUCAAGAUUCCUUUAAGUCUCUCAGUCUUCAAAACCAAAGGUGAAGCGUGGAACUGGAUCCGGAUGACAAAGCAGAAAGACAAGAACAUCCAAUAAUGAUGGCAAGUUGCAGCAGACACAGCCCCUGCCUGCACUCUGCCUGACCUCACCAGCACUUGGGCACCACAUCACCCAGGAAUACUACUCAGCUUGAUUGCAUACUCCUCAAACCCCUUUCCACAUAACCUGGUCAUUCAGAUUACCUGGGGCAUCAUCAGAAAACUACUUUAUCAGAGUAGUUCAUGAGAGAGGCUAAAAGUGAAGCUGGCAGAAGCUUAUUGACUUGUCCAAGUCAUAAGCUACUGGUAUCCAUUGCUGAAGAAAAAUUAUUCUGACUCUUGUUUAAAAUGGCAAGGAAGAGUUUAUGCAGGACUCUUGCAAGAGGGAGAAAGAUUGAGCUCAACGCUGAAUACAGCAAAGACAGGAAUUUACAGCCAGAGUGAGAGGAUCAGUAGAUGGAAAAUUCCUAAGAGGAGGUAUCAAGGGUAGGGGAAUUCUUGCUAAACUGGCUUAGCAGGAAUUUUGCUAAAGAAAGGUCAAGGUGGAGGCCUACUCAAGAAGAAGUUCGGAAAAGCCUGACUAAAGUUUGGUCGAAGGAGUCUUCAUCAUUGAGGGCUCUGUUUUCUAUUUUGUUUUGCUUUUUUCUUCCAACCAGUAUCUUCUGCCCCUAAGAGUUUGUACUGGUUAAUUGACAAAACCAGUCUUUGGUAGGGAGAGAAAAAAUAGUAAGAUAUGGCAGAGUUUAAAAUAGUUUCAUGGACUUAAGAAGAUUUUCUAACAAUUAAAACUGACAAGAAAAAUGUUUUCUGACUUCUAAAAUAUUUAUAAGAAAACAAAAGCAUGCUUCCCAUGAAAUGGUUAAAAAGACGUUUUUGAAAUGAUUGUCCUUACAAAUCUGUCAGAAAAUUAUACAAGUUUUGACCUCCGUCCAUCCACUUCCUACUCAAACAAAAAACAUGAAAUGAUGCCUCUGCUAAAAAUGGUCAAGCUUUACUUUCAUCCCUCCUCUCUCAAAUUUAAAAACAAAUUGCAAGAGGCUGAAGAAAACAUAUUAUUUUGAAAGUGUAGUUCAUUUCUCAAAGAUGUUAUUAUUUCCCUCAACAUACAGUAUGAGGUUUCGUGGGGUAGUCCAUGUAAUUUUUACAGCUAAGCAUAUGGUCUGAGGACAAAACAGUCAUGGUCCAUAGAAAGCCUGGAGACUUAACUCACAGCAUCCACUGCUUCACUGAAGUGGGCUGACAUUGAUUUCCUUAUAUAUCUGGGAAAGUUUAUGAAAGACUCUCUGUGAUAAGCAAAGCUACCAGACAGCUUGCAGUCUCUCUCCCCUCCCAUUGUGAGGACACAGCAAGAAGGCAGCCAUCUACAAGCCAGGAAGGGAAGCCUCAUGGAACCCAACCAUGCUGACACCUUGAUCUUGGACUUCCAGCCUCCAGACGGUAACCGCUCCCUGGCGCAGACACACCUGGUGGGAUGAGAUGGGACGGCGCCUUCCUUAUCUACUCACUUGGUAGAGCUAGUUCACCCUCUGCCCCUGGAUGGAAACGGAAAUGUUUGGUCAUUACAGUUACUGUUAGUCAUUAAAUAGUCUCACUUCAGUUAAAAUGGUCAGUUUCGGAUAGUAACCAAAAUUCAAACCAUGAUUAAAAGUUGAUGCCUCUCCUUGCCUCUGGA